UUUUUGAUAUAUGAAUUAAGUUUCCUUCGGGUCUUUGUGUGCGUUUGUUUGGGAUUUUGGAUUUCUCCGUUGGCCAGAGUCAACUGGCGGCCCCCGGGUCGCUUGAAGACUGCCGUUGCAGCGGAAACAUUGCGUGCCCAUGUGUUGUUCGCCAGAAGGAAAGCACGGCAGCGGACCGAGGAAACCGCAGGAAUAUGGUAAGAACGAUAGGAGAAAUCGGUGGAGGUGGAUACUUCGUGUGCCCUGGGUGUGAAGUUUGAAGCGGCCAGAAUACACGCGAUUCGCCACGGGGUCAACGGUUAACUUCGGACUCGCCCGGAUACAUUUUAACAUCAGUAUACAAAUCCAAUGACAAGAGACCCAGCUGAGUACCUCUGACGUCCGAGAGAUCCCUCCAAGUAGAACCAUGACAAGACCUGUACAAAAAAUCACGAUGAUGUGCAUGAUUUACGGUCUUUGGUCAGACAAUGUGAGAAAAGAAAAGCAAAGUCCAAACGUGAAUUCAUUUAAAUAAUUAAAUCAUGAU